UACGUAGGGAGCAAGCGUUGUCCGGAAUCAUUGGGCGUAAAGCGCGCGUAGGCGGCCCUGUAAGUCCGCUGUGAAAGUCAAAGGCUCAACCUUUGAAAGCCGGUGGAUACUGCAGGGCUAGAGUCCGGAAGAGGCGAGUGGAAUUCCUGGUGUAGCGGUGAAAUGCGCAGAUAUCAGGAGGAACACCGGUGGCGAAGGCGGGUCUCUGGGCCGAUACUGACGCUGAGGAGCGAAAGCAUGGGUAGCGAACAGG
rnacentral:rRNA from 1 species